rnacentral:rRNA from 1 species
AGAAUCAACGCUGGCGGCGUGCCUAACACAUGCAAGUCGCACGAGAAAGGGACUUCGGUCCCGAGUACAGUGGCGCACGGGUGAGUAACACGUGAAUAAUCUACCUCCGAGUGGGGAAUAACUGAGAGAAAUCUUAGCUAAUACCGCAUAACACUUACGAGUCAAAGCAGCAAUGCGCUUGGAGAGGAGUUCGCGGCAGAUUAGUUAGUUGGCGGGGUAAUGGCCCACCAAGACGAUGAUCUGUAUCCGGCCUGAGAGGGCGCACGGACACACUGGAACUGAAACACGGUCCAGACUCCUACGGAGGCAGCAGUGGGGAAUUUUGCGCAAUGGGGGAAACCCUGACGCAGCAACGCCGCGUGGAGGAUGAAAUAUCUUGGUAUGUAAACUCCUUUCGAUGGGGAAGAUAAUGACGGUACCCAUAGAAGAAGCCCCGGCUAACUUCGCGCCAGCAGCCGC